AGGAUUAACGCUGGCGGCGUGCCUAACACAUGCAAGUCGAACGAGGUAGCAAUACCUAGUGGCAGACGGGUGAGUAACGCGUGGUCAACCUACCGUUGAGUGGGGGAUAACUAGCCGAAAGGUUAGCUAAUACCGCAUACGAGUCCCGGGGGGAUCCCUGGGCCUUAAAAGGAGCAAUCCGCUCGAUGACGGGACCGCGUCCCAUUAGCUAGAUGGUGGGGUAAUGGCCUACCAAGGCGACGACGGGUAG
rnacentral:rRNA from 1 species